UACGUAGGGUGCAGGCGUUAAUCGGAAUUACUGGGCGUAAAGCGUGCGCAGGCGGUUUGUUAAGUCAGACGUGAAAUCCCUCGGCUUAACCGGGGAACUGCGUCUGAUACUGGAUGGCUAGAGAAUUGGGAGAGGGAUGCGGAAUUCCAGGUGUAGCGGGUGAAAUGACGUGAGAUAUCUGGAGGAACACCGGUGGCGAAGGCGGCAUCCUGGACCAACACUGACGGCUGAGGAGCGAAAAGCCAGGGGAGCAA
rnacentral:rRNA from 1 species